rnacentral:rRNA from 1 species
CGAAGGGGGCUAGCGUUGUUCGGAAUUACUGGGCGUAAAGAGCUCGUAGGCGGUUCGAUAAGUCGGGUGUGAAACCUCCAGGCUCAACCUGGAGACGCCACCCGAUACUGUCGUGACUAGAGUCCAGUAGGGGAGCGUGGAAUUCCUGGUGUAGCGGUGAAAUGCGCAGAUAUCAGGAGGAACACCAGCGGCGAAGGCGGCGCUCUGGGCUGGAACUGACGCUGAGGAGCGAAAGCGUGGGGAGCGAACAGGAUUAGAUACCCUGGUAGUCCACGCCGUAAACGUUGGGUACUAGGUGUGGAGUCUUAUCAACGGAUUCCGUGCCGAAGCUAACGCAUUAAGUACCCCGCCUGGGGAGUACGGCCGCAAGGCUA